GACGAACGCUGGCGGCGUGCUUAACACAUGCAAGUCGAACGAAGCGCGAUGGAAGCUUGCUUCUAUCAAUCUUAGUGGCGAACGGGUGAGUAACGCGUAAUCAACCUGCCCUUCAGAGGGGGACAACAGUUGGAAACGACUGCUAAUACCGCAUACGAUCUAAUCUCGGCAUCGAGGAUAGAUGAAAGGUGGCCUCUACAUGUAAGCUAUCACUGAAGGAGGGGAUUGCGUCUGAUUAGCUAGUUGGAGGGGUAACGGCCCACCAAGGCGAUGAUCAGUAGCCGGUCUGAGAGGAUGAACGGCCACAUUGGGACUGAGACACGGCCCAGACUCCUACGGGAGGCAGCAGUGGGGAAUCUUCCGCAAUGGACGAAAGUCUGACGGAGCAACGCCGCGUGAGUGAUGACGGCCUUCGGGUUGUAAAGCUCUGUUAAUCGGGACGAAAGGCCUUCUUGCGAAUAGUGAGAAGGAUUGACGGUACCGGAAUAGAAAGCCACGGCUAACUACGUG
rnacentral:rRNA from 1 species